AAUUAGGUGGCAAGAGAGCAGAGGGACUUUUGGAAAAAAAAGGAAAGCACAAAAAUACUCUUUCUACAUAGAGAUCUCCUUGGCGUUAUGAAUGAUGAAUCUGCAGGACUCUCUUGGGAUGAUAAACAACAUGCAUGAUGAGGAAAUUAAAACUUGAAGAGGUUAAGGAAUUUUCCAGGGACUGUGAAGCAAGCCUGGGAAGUUUUGAGGGGAUGAUUGAGAUGAUAUUAAUAAUGCAAUAAACAGGCAUCAAUAAACUUUUUUUGUAAAAGGCAAAAUAGUAAA